GGUGGCCACUCACCGUUGAAACAGUAGUCGAGGCUCGUUGCCCCACGAGCAACGCGAGGAGAAGCAACACUUUCGCCGAAUUCGAGCGUUCCAUCCUCGUUGUCUCGAUUCGUUUUUCAUCACGCGUUUAAUAAAAU